rnacentral:rRNA from 1 species
UACGUAGGGUGCAAGCGUUGUCCGGAAUUAUUGGGCGUAAAGAGCUCGUAGGUGGCCUGUCGCGUCGGCUGUGAAAACUCGGGGGCUCAACUCCGAGCUUGCAGUCGAUACGGGCAGGCUAGAGUUCGGCAGGGGGAGACUGGAAUUCCUGGUGUAGCGGUGAAAAUGCGCAGAUAUCAGGAGGAACACCGGUGGCGAAGGCGGGGUCUCUGGGGCCGAUACUGACACUGAGGAGCGAAAAGCGUGGGGGAGCGAACAGG